UAAAAAAAAAAUUAUAAAUCCUGACCGAAUUUUUCGGUCAGGAUUCCGAAAAAUUCUGACCUCACAGAAAACUAGAAUGUGUUCCCUUUGUUUCUGCUGGCCCUAAUCCUCUUCCGUAGAAGGCAGAGUUGUUUUUAAGGGAAUAAUCCUGGGAGAGAAAAAAAACCCCCAUAAUUUGUCGGCGCUAUGUGAUUUAAGCCCACCUCUGGGCUCUGCAGAGCAGUUUGAAGGGUGUAUGCAGGACGAGGAGUGCUUCAUUUUACAGCCUCAUCCUGCCGUAUAUAUCAGUGGCUGCAACCAGAUCCCGCUCAGAACCCACCGGCCUCGGGGAAUCUCGCUCCAACAACAGAACACUGAGGCAGUUUCCAAUUUCCACAGGAAGCUGCAGGACGCUGAUCUGGCUGCAGAUGGAGCGGCGAGCGCCACCGGCUCCUCGAAUGAAACACGCCCUGUGGAGAACGGCUAAUGAGUGGAAUGUUGCGCCGUGUUUUGUUCACUCGCAGCGCCUCCCAGCACCGUCUCCUGUGGAAACCUGGAAACCACUGCAGGAUGACUGAUGCAUUGUCUGAUUAGAUGGAACCUGCUGCCCUCUUGAGGUUUCACAUUAGAGCAGGACGAGCCAACCUGAAGGCAACACAGCAGAUUUACAGGUGUGCGUCUGCGCCAGAUCAAUACCUGACAGGACAAUUUUAGUAUUAAACUUGUUAAAUAAAGAACAGAUUUUGUACUACUUCAAAAUAACUUAUUGCUUCUUUCUACUCAAUAUCACAUCUGUUUGGUAUUUUUGCCAUAUUCAUAUAUUUAUCUCAUAGCAUUUUAUUGCUUUAUUGAUAUUAUUACAUACUUUUCAUUUAACCCACCGUACACACAGCUUGAGUGAGUAGAUAAAAAUCAGGCAAAUGAAAUCUCUGUAAUCUGCAACAAACUGAUGUCUGCAGGCAUAAAUCAAGGAAUGGAAUAAAAUUAAUCUUUUGAAUUUUAAAUGGUAAGUGUCCCUCAUUCCAAGAGAUUUUAAUGUAUUUAAUCGAAAAGGUGUGCGUCUAAAUGUACCAACUGAACUUCCAGAAGAUUAACACCCUUUUUAUCCUGAGUUUAAAAUUAUCCAUAUAAAAUAGAAAUAAUCUCGGGAAAUGUGACAAAAUGCUUUCUAAAAUAAUUUUUAGAUAUUAUGUAUUUCAUUAGGCUGCUGCAAAACAAAAAUUUAGCUGUUAAAGAACACCUACUACAGCUAAAAAAAUGAAGCUAUUAUGUUUUUCUUUCCAUUUUAAAAUUAUAUUGUAUUUUUGUCUGUCUGUGGAAGCCCUGAAGCCAGACCAGCUGUUGAAGGUCUGUGGUUUUCCUUCAGUGCCUCUAGUGGUAGAAAGAGGUAUUACAUGAAAAAACAAAAAAUAAGCAUGUCAAAAAAUAAUAAUAGUUCUCAUUUGCCUUUAACAGUAGUUUUUAGACAAGAGAGAAAAACAAAAAGGAAAACUAGGCUAUAGUCAGACAGACUUAACAAAAACCACACUUGAUCAGACAUUUUGUAUGUCAAUAGAUUAUUUUGGGAAAGGUGAGUUUUCCUCACAUUUCAGAAAAAAAAAAGUUCCAUGGGGAAAUCAACAAAAAAAAACUUGCAAUAAUUUAAUCUAGAUUUUUUUUUUUCUGAUAUCUUCUGAAGUUGCCAGGAGAAGAACAUUUUUUAAGACUUAAAAAAUUGUUCUUUAAAAAAAAGUAAAUAAAAUUGUAUGUACUUCUCAGGGCUCGUGCAUCUGUCAC